UUGCACGCUGGCGGCAUGCUUUACACAUGCCAGUCGCACGGUAACAGCACUUCGGUGGCUGACGAGUGGCGAACGGGUGAGUAAUACAUCGGAACGUGCCUAGUAGUGGGGGAUAACUACUCGAAAGAGUAGCUAAUACCGCAUGAGAUCUAAGGAUGAAAGCAGGGGACCUUCGGGCCUUGCGCUACUAGAGCGGCUGAUGGCAGAUUAGGUAGUUGGUGGGAUAAAAGCUUACCAAGCCGACGAUCUGUAGCUGGUCUGAGAGGACGACCAGCCACACUGGGACUGAGACACGGCCCAGACUCCUACGGGAGGCAGCAGUGGGGAAUUUUGGACAAUGGGCGCAAGCCUGAUCCAGCAAUGCCGCGUGCAGGAUGAAGGCCUUCGGGUUGUAAACUGCUUUUGUACGGAACGAAAAGCCCUCUUCUAAUACAGGAGGGUCAUGACGGUACCGUAAGAAUAAGCACCGGCUAACUACGUG
rnacentral:rRNA from 1 species